AACGAACGCUGGCGGCGUGCCUAACACAUGCAAGUCGAGCGCGAAAGUCCCUUCGGGGGCGAGUAGAGCGGCGGACGGGUGAGUAAUACAUAGGUAAUCUACCUUCGAGCUUGGGAUAACCCCGCGAAAGUGGGGCUAAUACCGGAUAAGACCACGUAACCAUGUUGCGGGGUAAAAGGUGGCUUAUUUUUUAAAUGAGCUGUCACUUGAGGAUGAGCCUAUGGCCUAUCAGCUUGUUGGCGGGGUAAGAGCCCACCAAGGCUAUGACGGGUAGCUGGUCUGAGAGGACGACCAGCCACACUGGGACUGAGACACGGCCCAGACUCCUACGGGAGGCAGCAGUGGGGAAUAUUGGGCAAUGGGCGCAAGCCUGACCCAGCGACGCCGCGUGGGCGAUGAAGGCCUCGGUGUAAGACCUGUCAUGCGGAAGAACGAACCCUGUGACGCAUACUCACACGGGAGGUGACGGGUACCGCCGAGGAGGAAGGCGAACCGGCGUAAACUCCGUGCC
rnacentral:rRNA from 1 species